rnacentral:lncRNA from 1 species
UUUAACCUCUAAUUUAUUAAAUAGGAUCGGAAGGAUAUUGUUAUUUGCUAGAGCCGUUGUGGUAGGUUUGAUUUGUUGAAAAAAAGGUUCUCUGUGUUUCGUUCGGUAAUCAGAUUAUAAAGCGAUUUGGAAUCGCAUUGAUUUGACUUGCUGUAGUCAGAGUAGACUUUGAUCCAUUGAAGUGAUAAAACUGCUGCUCGAUUUGCCAUGUAGACCAGACACCAGUGAGUGCUAAAAUGGUUUGUUUUCUAUAUUAUUCUACCAGGGCUCCUGAUUUCAGAACUACCAGGGUUGGUGACGAUGGGCUUUAAGGAUGAAAAAUGUUGAGGUAAUCACAUGGUAAAACCGAUGGCGCACUACUCUUGGAGAGAAUAAGAGAAAAGGCUGGUUCAGGCCCUCUUUAGUUCGGUCCAGGCCAGUUUGGGCAUGUUUUUGGCCAGUUUAUGCUAAUGGUCUGUCAUGAAAAAAAAAAUCCCUGCCAAGAAACCAGUUGUUACAAUUUCGUCGAUCUGUUACAAGGAGCAAACUAUUAGAGUUAUGAAGUUGUUAAACACAUGGACAGCAGGACAGGAUAAGGCGGAGGAGGUUUCAGCAGUGGCCGCGGAGAAAAGUUUGCCCAAAGACCCUGCAAUAAAAAACACCAAUCUUGCAUAAUUGGAUGCUAUCCCACGCCAUCCCGCCAAGAAAUAUCAGAUUCCAGGUUCUGCGUAAGAAUAAAAUGGAUGUUAAAAGGAUUACCAGCUUAGCAUGCAUCAAAAAAAGAAGCUGGACCUGCAUUUGAAGUCUUAAGUGAUAUUUUUGAUGCCAUUGAUUCCAGAUUUCAAGAG